rnacentral:misc_RNA from 1 species
GAGUCAAGGCCAAGAGGCGACUCGUUUAAGGUGAAAGGAAUAAUUAAGCAGCUGUGCAAUAUUUCUGAAAAGACAUAGUGAGACUAUCUUCGGGUAUAUCAUAGGUAUACCCUUGUACAUUAACUUUUGAUGUAAUUCUGUAAUGAUAUGUAUGAAAUUUCCUUUGAGCAGUUGUACCAACUCUUUUGUAAUAUAUUUCUGGAUUGUAAUUAAAUACAAAUUA